rnacentral:misc_RNA from 1 species
GCUACUACCGAUUGAAUGGUUUAGUGAGGACUCCUGAUUGGCGCCGCCGCCCCGGAAACAGAGCAGCGGACUGCCGAAAAGUUGUUCAAACUUGAUCAUUUAGAGGAAGUAAAAGUCGUAACAAGGUUUCCGUAGGUGAACCUGCAGAAGGAUCAAGUUCUGAAGAGCGUCGUGUAGGGUACGAGUUUAGAUCUCUUUUUUCUCCGUUUCAUUACUAUUUUUUUUUCUUCUUCUUUUUCUUCUCUUUCUUCCUCUUUCUCUUUUCUUCUCUUUCUUU